CUCUUGAUGAGUAAACACAACUGAAUCACUCUUGUGAUUAUUUCUCUCCGUAUUCAGAUAAGAAAACAACUGAUCAAGAAAACACAGGAGAGACGGUGAGAGACGAGACAGGAAGGCAUGUGAGAGAGAGAGAGAGAGGGGCGGACAGAAAAGGACAGCAGGCCAUACUCAAACCCAGGUCGGCGUUGGAAGGAAAGAGCUUCACAGGACACUAGCCACUGGGGCUCCUCGGUUUUUAUCGUUCUGUAAGGUAACUGCUCAUGGGAUGGCAGUGUAAACUUUGUACAUCUGUGGCAUCAUCAACGGGGGGACUUCUCAAACACUAUCAACUAAAACACGGACUUUUAGGUCGUGGACAUUUUCUGCCCUGCAUUCAUUUGGACUGUCAAUGUUCUUUUAAAACUUGGGGUGGUUUACGUACACACUUGUAUAGAGCUCACAAAUCAGAGGAAACUGAAAAACAGAAAGAUGUGAAAGCUUUCAAAUGUAAAAUUUGUGACUCAUGUUUUUCAAAUACCAAGGAUUAUUUUUAACACAUUAAAUUUGAAAAGUUUAGAAACAAUAGAGUGUUUGUUUGAUGGUUGUGAUUUCAAAAAUAACAUAUAUGGGACUUAUGCUACACACAAAAGCCGAAAGCACCAAUCCUACUCAUGUAAUGACUUAAAAGCUGAUGUUAUUGUAAAACUUCCUGUUUCUACCAGUGUUGUAUUUUUGAAACCGGGCUUUAUUUUUCAGUGUCUUUUAAUUUGAACACACAUUUACAACACAUAACGGACAAGUUCCUUAUCCGUAGCCCAUUACUUAAAUAGUACAUGUAAUUCAAAGUAGUUAUGUGUAAAAAAAAAUCAUACGUAUGUAUUCACACUGCCUGCAGAUGGUGUCCUUGUGUGUAAAUGUAGAAUGCUAACUGAGGUAUUCUUGAGUGUAAAUGAUUGAUAAGGACAGUUAUUUUUUGUUUUUGCCACUUAAAAGUUCAGAUGGUUGUAAGUCUGACAACAUUGUGGAUAGCAUUCCUAGAGAGAGACAUGUCUUUUGUUAAAAAGUAAACUGUUAAAAUUUCUUGGUGAUACCACUUGGCUGACUACUGUAUUGUGUGUUUCACACAACAAGUCGCAAGACAGUUAGAAAUAAUUGUCAAUAUUAAAUGACAGUUAGUGAUGGUUAAAGAUAAAAAGCACAAUUGAACUCCCAUUGGCCGUAGUGAGUGGUGGAGUUUGCUCCAGUUCUUUUAGAAAUGUGGCCAAAUUCUGAGAUAUUUGCAAAAUGUUCUUGUUUAAAUGCAUUGUUUUGUUAUUACUUGCACUAUACUGUGUCAGUAAUGUUUCUGCUAUUGUUUCACAUGUGCAUGCAGGUCUGAAAUAAGCAGUUUUCAUUUAAAUACCUCAAAUCUGAUGCAGGAAAGUAUUUUAUGUGGAAAAA